UACGAAGGGGGCUAGCGUUGCUCGGAAUCACUGGGCGUAAAGCGCACGUAGGCGGAUUGUUAAGUCAGGGGUGAAAUCCUGGAGCUCAACUCCAGAACUGCCUUUGAUACUGGCGAUCUUGAGUCCGGGAGAGGUGAGUGGAACUGCGAGUGUAGAGGUGAAAUUCGUAGAUAUUCGCAAGAACACCAGUGGCGAAGGCGGCUCACUGGCCCGGUACUGACGCUGAGGUGCGAAAGCGGUGGGGAGCAAACAGG
rnacentral:rRNA from 1 species